UACGUAGGGGGCAAGCGUUGUCCGGAAUCAUUGGGCGUAAAGAGCGUGUAGGCGGCCCGGUAAGUCCGCUGUGAAAGUCCAGGGCUCAACCCUGGGAUGCCGGUGGAUACUGUCGGGCUCGAGUCCGGAAGAGGAGUGUGGAAUUCCUGGUGUAGCGGUGAAAUGCGCAGAUAUCGGGAGGAACACCUAUGGCGAAGGCAGCUCGCUGGGACGUUACUGACGCUGAGACGCGAAAGCGUGGGGAGCAAACGGG
rnacentral:rRNA from 1 species